UACAGAGGGGGCAAGCGUUGUUCGGAAUUACUGGGCGUAAAGGGCGCGUAGGCGGCCUUCUAAGUCGAACGUGAAAUCCCCGGGCUCAACCCGGGAACUGCGUCCGAUACUGGAAGGCUUGAAUCCGGGAGAGGAUGGCGGAAUUCCCAGUGUAGAGGUGAAAUUCGUAGAUAUUGGGAAGAACACCGGUGGCGAAGGCGGCAUCCUGGACCAACACUGACGCUGAGGAGCGAAAGCCAGGGGAGCAAACGGG
rnacentral:rRNA from 1 species